UAGGGAAUCUUCGGCAAUGGGGGCAACCCUGACCGAGCAACGCCGCGGGAGGGAAGAAGGUUUUCGGAUCGUAAAGCUCUGUUGUAAGAGAAGAACUGGGGGGAGAGUGGAAAGUCAAAAAAGUGCCGGAAAUUUACAGGAAGGGGACGGUUAACUACGUGCAGGAAGCCGCGGUAAUACGUAGGUCCCGAGCGUUGUCCGGAUUUAUUGGGCGUAAAGGAAGCGCAGGCGGUUUAAUAAGUCUGAAGUUAAAGGCAGUGGCUUAACCAUUGUUCGCUUUGGAAACUGUUAAACUUGAGUGCAGAAGGGGAGAGUGGAAUUCCAUGUGUAGCGGUGAAAUGCGUAGAUAUAUGGAGGAACACCGGUGGCGAAAGCGGCUCUCUGGUCUGUAACUGACGCUGAGGCUCGAAAGCGUGGGGAGCAAACAGG
rnacentral:rRNA from 1 species